rnacentral:rRNA from 1 species
GCUGGCGGCGUGCUUAACACAUGCAAGUCGAGGGGAGUGAGCAAUCACUCACCGGCGAACGGGUGCGUAACACGUGAGCAACCUAUCGAGCUCGGGGGGAUAGCCGGCCCAACGGCCGGGUAAGACCGCAUACGCUCACUCUGGGGAGUCCUGGGGUGAGGAAAUCCUUCGGGAGGAGUUCGCGGGGCUCGCGGCCUAUCAGCUAGUUGGCGGGGUAACGGCCCACCAAGGCGGUGACGGGUAGCUGGUCUGAGAGGAUGGCCAGCCACAUUGGGACUGAGAGACGGCCCAGACUCCUACGGGAGGCAGCAGUGGGGAAUCUUGCGCAAUGGCCGAAAGGCUGACGCAGCGACGCCGCGUGUGGGAGGACGCCCUUCGGGGUGUAAACCACUGUUGCCCGGGACGAACCUGGCUUUUCGAGGCCACUGACGGUACCGGGUGAGGAAGCACCGGCUAACUCUGUGCCAGCAGCCGCGGUAAUACAGAGGGUGCGAGCGUUGUCCGGAAUCACUGGGCGUAAAGGGCGCGUAGGCGGCAGGUCAAGCGUGCGGUGAAAGCCCGGGGCUCAACUCCGGGUCGGCCGUGCGAACUGGCGUGCUGGAGCACUGUAGAGGCAGGUGGAAUU